rnacentral:misc_RNA from 1 species
GAUGAAGAACGCAGCGAAAUGCGAUACGUAAUGUGAAUUGCAAAUUCAGUGAAUCAUCGAGUCUUUGAACGCACAUUGCGCCCCCUGGUAUUCCGGGGGGCAUGCCUGUCCGAGCGUCAUUGCUGCCCUCAAGCCCGGCUUGUGUGUUGGGCCCCGUCCCCCGAUCUCCGGGGGACGGGCCCGAAAGGCAGCGGCGGCACCGCGUCCGGUCCUCGAGCGCAUGGGGCUUUGUCACCCGCUCUGUAGGCCCGGCCGGCGCUUGCCGAUCAACCCAAAUUUUUAUCCAGGUUGACCUCGGAUCAGGUAGGGAUACCCGCUGAACUUAAGCAUAUCAAUAAGCGGAGGA